rnacentral:lncRNA from 1 species
CAAGAAAUACUACAUUCUGUAUGAUGGGACAUGCUAUAUAACUUGUAUAGCUAUAUCAUGAUUAUGAUGUGACGACAUGAUUUGUGUUGGAUGGUAUGACGAGACUAUUAUGUGUAUGAUAUUCAUAUCAUAAACUGGCAAUAUGAUCAUCAUAGAAUACUAUAUAAAAUAUGUACAAAAAAUCGCAAAUACGUAGCAAAAAAAUGAUAUGUGAAAAUAUAGUAGUAGCGCUCUUUAG